rnacentral:rRNA from 1 species
UACGUAGGGUGCAAGCGUUAAUCGGAAUUACUGGGCGUAAAGCGUGCGCAGGCGGGGAUGUAAGACAGGUGUGAAAUCCCCGGGCUUAACCUGGGAACUGCAUUUGUGACUGCAUCGCUGGAGUGCGGCAGAGGGGGAUGGAAUUCCGCGUGUAGCAGUGAAAUGCGUAGAUAUGCGGAGGAACACCGAUGGCGAAGGCAAUCCCCUGGGCCUGCACUGACGCUCAUGCACGAAAGCGUGGGGAGCAAACAGG